rnacentral:rRNA from 1 species
UAACGAAUCUUCCGCAAUGGGCGAAAGCCUGACGGAGCAAUGCCGCGUGUGGGAUGAAGCGUCUCUGACGUGUAAACCACUGUCAGGGGUCGGAACCAAUGAUUGACCCCAAAGGAAGUGGCGACUAACUCUGUGCCAGCAGUCGCGGUAAUACAGAGGCCACAAGCGUUAGUCGGAAUCACUGGGCUUAAAGGGUGCGUAGGCGGAUCGGUAAGUGUUCUGUGAAAGCCCCCGGCUCAACCGGGGAACUGCAGGGCAUACUGCCGAUCUUGAGGCAGGUAGGGGUCGCGAGAACUGUAGGUGGAGCGGUGAAAUGCGUAGAUAUCUACAGGAAUGCCGAUGGUGAAGACGCGCGACUGGGCCUGUCCUGACGCUGAGGCACGAAAGCGUGGGGAGCAAACA